rnacentral:rRNA from 1 species
CCUACGGGGGGCAGCAGUGGGGAAUAUUGCGCAAUGGGCGAAAGCCUGACGCAGCGACGCCGCGUGAGGGAUGAAGGUCUUCGGAUCGUAAACCUCUGUCAGCAGGGAAGAACGGACACGGAGCUAAUCAGCAGUGAAGUGACGGUACCUGCAAAGGAAGCACCGGCGAACUCCGUGCCAGCAGCCGCGGCAAUACGGAGGGGGCGAGCGUUAAACGGAAUUACGGGGCGGAAAGCGCUCGUAGGCGGUAUGUCAAGUCAAGGGUGAAAUCCCCGCGCUCAACGUGGGAACUGCCUUUGAAACUGGCGAACUGGCGUGUGUGAGAGGAUAGUGGAAUUCCAGGUGU